UUCGUACUGUGAAGCAUCCUGUUAAGUCAGGCAACGAGCGAGACCCACGCCCACAGUUGCCAGCGUACUCUCUGGAGUGACGGGUACACUGUGGGGACCGCCGCUGCUAAAGCGGAGGAAGGAAUGGGCAACGGUAGGUCAGUAUGCCCCCGAAUAUCCCGGGCUACACGCGAGCUACAAUGGUUGGUACAAUGGGUAUCUACCCCGAAAGGGGACGGGAAUCUCCUAAAACCAAUCUUAGUUCGGAUUGAGGGCUGCAACUCGCCCCCAUGAAGCUGGAAUCCGUAGUAAUCGCGUUUCAACAGAACGCGGUGAAUACGUCCCUGCUCCUU
rnacentral:rRNA from 1 species